AAGCCUUCUUGAAGCUCCCCAAGGCAGAGUCAGCAUCCAGUGUCCUGGGGAUCCCUGGGGUGCAGCUCCCUCUCCUCUGUAGGGAAGAGAUGAAGACAUCUAAAUUCAGAGACAUCAAGGAUCUGGUCUAAGGUCAUAUGGCUCAGAAGAAGCAAGGAUAAAAACCCAGUCAUAGAAUAUGGAGCACUCACCCCAUGGUACAACUGGUCCAGGACUGAUCAAUCUUCAUGUGAGAGAGUUUCCACCCCGGCAGCGCAGACCGAAGAAAAAACAAUGAAUUCACAGUCAGAAGGCUUGGGCUCAAAUCCAGCUUCGCCAGUUGCUAACAGAAUGACCUUCUAAUCUUUAUGACUCAGUCUCUGGCUGCCUUCGGGUAUCUGCUCAAAUGACAACUCAUGAAAAGGCUUCCUAGGUGACUCGACACGAAAAAGUGCCCACGGCCAAUGUCACUCUCCAGCCCUCACCCAGAUGCGUCUCUCCCAUGGAACUUACCAUCUGCCACAUUACACAUCCAUCAAUUACUCAGUCUCUCCCCACAUACUGUAGAACGUAACCACCA